rnacentral:rRNA from 1 species
GGCAAGUCGAACGGUAAGGCCCUUCGGGGUACACGAGUGGCGAACGGGUGAGUAACACGUGGGUGAUCUGCCCUGCACUUCGGGAUAAGCUUGGGAAACUGGGUCUAAUACCGGAUAGGACCACGGUCUGCAUGGAUUGUGGUGGAAAGCUUUUGCGGUGUGGGAUGGGGCCCGCGGCCUAUCAGCUUGUUGGUGGGGUGAUGGCCUACCAAGGCGACGACGGGUAGCCGGCCUGAGAGGGUGUCCGGCCACACUGGGACUGAGAUACGGCCCAGACUCCUACGGGAGGCAGCAGUGGGGAAUAUUGCACAAUGGGCGCAAGCCUGAUGCAGCGACGCCGCGUGGGGGAUGACGGCCUUCGGGUUGUAAACCUCUUUCAGCAGGGACGAAGGGUGACUGACGGUACCUGUAGAAGAAGCACCGGCCAACUACGUG